GGGUGACUGGCGCAGUGGUAGCGCAUCGGACUCUUAAUCCGCUGGCCCUGGGUUCAAAUCCCAGGUCACCCA
rnacentral:tRNA from 1 species